rnacentral:sRNA from 1 species
CACACACACACACACACCUAUCUUUAAGUGAACAGACGGUUAAGGAUGCUCACUAGGUCCUAAGCAAGCCCAGUGUCUUCCUUUUGGCAGGGGACACAGAAGCCAGCGCAGAUGAUCCAAGCAGCAAGCACAGUAACACGAGACAACACAGAGACAUCCCUGGAGGGAGUGAAGCACAGGCAAAGGUAGCCCAUCUCCUGGGUUUGGCUCCUGCCAUCAACUCAAUUUGCACAGGACCCAGGGCUCCCUUGGGUAUGGCCCUUGGUUACACAUGGGGAAUAUUAUAACUGGGAGCUGUGGUGCUCAUGGUUUCUUACGAGGCUUCUCAGCAAGCGGCUUGACAGCAUGAGAGAAAGGCCUGCCUUGGCCCACGUGGCCUUUCUGCACACUCCAAUGUCCUAGAGAUCCAGCCUCCAUUUUCUAGGCUCUAAAACAUACUAGCAGCCCACCUGUGGGCUGUUGAGGUUAGUACUAUUUCAGCUGGGUACCUAUCGGCUGUGACCUCGGGGGUAAUUGCAUCCUCUCUAAGCCUGUGCUGGCAGGCAAGAUUCUUCCAAAGCUAGAACCCAGCACUUGUCACAUCUGAGAGAGACUGCAGGCCCUCCAGGACUCACAUGACUGGCUGUGUGAGACAGCCAGGCCUUUUGAGGUACUGCUCCUGUGUGUGUCUCCAUUCACCCUGUAGCCAUUUCCUGCUGCUUCUUGUCAACCCCUCUCAAAAUUUAGUAUCCAUCACCUCCUCCAGGAAUUCUCCCUUGGUCUCAGGAACGGCCAAGGCAGUUUUCGUUUUGCCUGUGAAUCUGCACCACAGACUGAUGUUGCCUGAUUACAAGCCAGUGUCCUGCUCUUGUCUGUCCCUCCCCCAUGGUUAUGAAAGCCCCCAUCUCCAUGGGUAGAGCAUGGCCCUGCCACAAAGCCAACCCACAGUGUGCCUUAGAGCCUCCUCUGCACGUCCCCUGGGUGGGAGGCGCCUCCUCUGGGUGCGAGGAGGAGGGCCAGAAAAAGAGUCCUAGGCUACUUACUAUAACCUUUUUAAAGUUUCCCAGCCAGGAUAUUCUAUAAAUUACUUUCUAAGAUUAUUCCUGGGUGGAAGCCACCCACAAGAGAGGAAGCUGGUGGAGAAGAAGGGACAUCAGGAGUGAGGGGCCUGGUUGGCUCUGCCGCAGUGGCUGUGUGAUCACCAGCCGGUGACUUUCCAUCUCUGGGACUGGUUAGCCAUAUUCAAUGGAUAAUGGAUAAGAUGGGCCCAGGAGCCCUCCGCCUGAGCGAGCACAGGCGUGACUGCCCAGUGUGUAGAGCCACAUAGUGAGGCCACAGCAAGCCUGGACACACUGAAGAGAGGAAUGAGUGCCCAGAGGACAACCCCUCAGCCUUCCAACUCCUGCUCCAGCUAGAGGUCACAGAGACAAUGCUGGGGAGGCCACUGUGGAGCCAUUUAUAUUCAGAGGCUUCUGAGAUGCCUCUUUGUGAAUUCCUCCCUUAGUUCCCACCUUGCUGCUAGACUCCCAGGGGAAGACCCUACUUGACUUUCUUCUCCCACCUCCUAAGCCCUCCAUACCUCUGGCUCCAUUUGGAGUCCCUGAAGUCUGAGGGAGCUUUCUUUGAAGAUACACUGAGGUCUGGUGGCUGCCUUGGCGGUUGUAUGUACAUGUACGAAAUAUCACCUGGGCCUUGGGUGGCUGGGUUCAAAGUUUGCCAAGGGUUCUACCAGUGACCAAGGUGACAAUUCAUUAGAGCACACACGAUAAGGAGUAAAUGUCACUGUUUCCUCCGAGCAUGUGCUUCUUGGAUAACUUGUCAGUGCAGCAAUGACAGGCACACUACCAGGCGCCUGGCUGAGAGCAGAGUGGGCAGCCCUGUACUUGCCUGGUUUCCAGAGUUCUCAGAGCAUCUGCUUAAGGUGACCAGUCAGUGAGAUAGCAACCUUACCAAAAUCUCAGGGCAGUGGAUGCACAGGGUUGCUAAGAUUCCAAACUGUGCUGGGCACUAUAGACGUACCUCAGGGGCACGAGAGCAGCCAGUGGUGGCCCUUAUGCUCGACCUACAUCCUGUUUCAAUGCCAAGAGUUUGGCCUUCCGUGCUAGCAGACCAGUCUCCUACAUGACAGCUGCUUUAAAAUACUUUCUCAGUCUCUCUACCCUACAGAUAAGGAAAUCAAAGGCUUUGAGAGAGGCUGUGGUUUCCCAGAGGUCACACAGCAAAACAUGGGGACACAUUUACAGUUCAGACUCUCUGAUUCCCAAGCAAUACUCCUCCAGUUCCCAGAAACAAGAACGCCACCUUAGGAGGGUAUUCUGAGCCUUGGUACAUGUGUGUGCAUGCCUGUGUGUGUGAGUGUGAGUGUGUGUGAGUGUGAGUGUAUGUGUGUGUGUGUGUAAGGGCCUAGAGUCUGCUCUGACUGGGAGGAACACUAGACUUCUGGAUGCCUUUGGGCCCUUUCUCAAGGCUUCUGUCUGUCUGCAGGACAGGGCAGAUUAAUGCCCAAUUAAUGUCAUCUGGCCACUAGAGGGCACUCUAACCGAGGCUUGGCCAUUACCAACCUCUGCUCAGUGAACAACACUGAAAAACCUGGGCAAGGAGUGAGAUGCAGAGUCAUACAAUGGGGAGGUUCACACUCCGAUCUGCACUUGGAGAUGCACAAAAGAAGACUGGAGGAAAGUUAUUCACUUGCCAAGAAGCCAGAGAUGGGAUCCAGAAACUCAAGCAUUAGAGGGAUUUGACUCUGCCUGCCUGGGAGGACACAUCUGCACUAGUCAGUGUGACCUGAGCAAGGGUCAGGAGGCUGGAGUGAUGGCCCAGGCUUGUGUAACUACUUCCUUCAAAUGGAAGAAUCCUCUCAGGGACACAAAGAAGCUACAAGAGUCACGGGCCUCUGUCCAAGGUUACAUAGGCAGGAAGCAACUGCUGGACAGGGGAGCAUUUGGGUGGGGCUGGCUGCAAGAUGGGCUUGGAGCGCCAGAGAUUCAGCCUCAUCUGAGCUGGGGUGAACUUUUCAGUGAGAAAGCUGCUUUUUGGUCAUCCACACUCCUGUGAGAAACGCCAAUAAAUUCAUUUCUUCACCAA